AGCUUUUCCAUGCAGUCAGCAUUAGGGUUUUAAACCAUAAACUGACCUUUUCCAUUAAAUCAGCAUUAGGGUUUUAAACCCUAAACUGAAUUUUUCCUUUAGUCAGCAUUAGGGUUUUAAACCCUAAACUGAACUUUUUUCCAUUCAGCCAGCAUUAGGGUUUUAAACCCCAAACUGAGCUUUUCCAUGCAAUCAGCAUUAGGGUUUUAAACCCUAAACUGAAUUUUUCCUUUAGCCGGCUUUAGGGUUUUAAACCCUAAACUGAACUUUUUUCCUUUCAGCCAGCAUUAGGGUUUUAAACCCUAAACUGAGCUUUUCCAUGUAAUCAGCAUUAGGGUUUUAAACCCUAAACUGAAUUUUCCUUUUAGUCAGCAUUAGGGUUUUAAACCCUAAACUGAACUUUUUUCCAUUCAGCCAGCAUUAGGGUUUUAAACCCUAAACUGAGCUUUUCCAUGUAAUCAGCAUUAGGGUUUUAAACCCUAAACUGAACUUUUUCCGUUAGUCAGCAUUAGGGUUUUAAACCCUAAACUGAACUUUUUUCCAUUCAGCCAGCAUUAGGGUUUUAAACCCUAAACUGAGCUUUUCCCUGUAAUCAGCAUUAGGGUUUUAAACCCUAAACUGAAUUUUCCUUUUAGUCAGCAUUAGGGUUUUAAACCCUAAACUGAACUUUUUUUCCAUUCAGCCAGCAUUAGGGUUUUAAACCCUAAAGUGAGCUUUUCCAUGUAAUCAACAUUAGGGUUUUAAACCCUAAACUGAAUUUUUCCUUUAGUCAGCAUUAGGAUUUUAAACCCUAAACUGAACUUUUUUCCAUUCAGCCAGCAUUAGGGUUUUAAGCCCUAAACUGAGCUUUUCCAUGUAAUCAGCAUUAGGGUUUUAAACCCUAAACUAAAUUUUCCUUUUAAUCAGCAUUAGGGUUUUAAACCCUAAACUGAACUUUUUUUCCAUUCAGCCAGCAUUAGGGUUUUAAACCCUAAACUGAGCUUUUCCAUGUAAUCAGCAUUAGGGUUUUAAACCCUAAACUAAAUUUUCCUUUUAGUCAGCAUUAGGGUUUUAAACCCUAAACUGAACUUUUUUCCAAUCAGCCAGCAUUAGGGUUUUAAACCCUAAACUGAGCUUUUUCAUGUAAUCAGCAUUAGGGUUUUAAGCCCUAAACUGAAUGUUCCUUUUAGUCAGCAUUAGGGUUUUAAACCCUAAACUGAACUUUUUUUCCAUUCAGCCAGCAUUAGGGUUUUAAACUCUAAACUGAGCUUUUCCAUGUAAUCAGCAUUAGGGUUUUAAACCCUAAACUAAAUUUUCCUUUUAGUCAGCAUUAGGGUUUUAAACCCUAAACUGAACUUUUUUCCAUUCAGCCAGCAUUAGGGUUUUAAACCCUAAACUGAGCUUUUCCAUGCGAUCAACAUUAGGGUUUUAAACCCUAAACUGAACUUUUUCCUUUAGUCAGCAUUAGGGUUUUAAACCCUAAACUGAACUUUUUUCCAUUCAGCCAGCAUUAGGGUUUUAAACCCUAAACUGAGCUUUUCCAUGCGAUCAGCAUUAGGGUUUUAAACCCUAAACUGAAUUUUUCCUUUAGCCAGCAUUAGGGUUUUAAACCCUAAACUGAACUUUUUUCCAUUCAGCCAGCAUUAGGGUUUUAAACCCUAAACUGAGCUUUUCCAUGCGAUCAACAUUAGGGAUUUAAACCCUAAACUGAAUUUUUCCUUUAGUCAGCAUUAGGGUUUUAAACCCUAAACUGAACUUUUUCCCAUUCAGCCAGCAUUAGGGUUUUAAACCCCAAACUGAGCUUUUCCUUCCAGUCAGCAUUAGGGUUUUAAACCCUAAACUGAACUUUUUUCCAUUCAGCCAGCAUUAGGGUUUUAAACCCUAAACUGAGCUUUUCCAUGCGAUCAGCAUUAGGGUUUUAAACCUUAAACUGAAUUUUUCCUUUAGCCAGAAUUAGGGUUUUAAACCCCAAACUGAGCUUUUCCAUGUAGUCAGCAUUAGGGCUUUAAACCCUAAACUGAACUUUUUUCCAUUCAGCCAGCAUUAGGGUUUUAAACCCUAAACUGAGCUUUUCCAUGCGAUCAACAUUAGGGUUUUAAACCCUAAACUGAAUUUUUUCUUUAGUCAGCAUUGGGGUUUUAAACCCUAAACUGAACUUUUUUACAUUCAGCCAGCAUUAGGGUUUUAAACCCUAAACUGAGCUUUUCCAUGCGAUCAGCAUUAGGGUUUUAAACCCUAAACUGAAUUUUUCCUUUAGUCAGCAUUAGGGUUUUAAACCCUAAACUGAACUUUUUCCCAUUCAGCCAGCAUUAGGGUUUUAAACCCCAAACUGAGCUUUUCCUUCCAGUCAGCAUUAGGGUUUUAAACCCUAAACUGAAUUUUCCUUUCAGUCAGCAUUAGAGUUUUAAACCCUAAACUGAAUUUUUCCUUUCAGUCAGCAUUAGGGUUUAAAACCCUAAACUAAAUUUUUUCCUUUCAGUCAGCAUUAGGGUUUAAAACCCUAAACUGAAUUUUUCCUUUAGUUAGCAUUAUGGUUUUAAACCCUAAACUGAACUUUUUUCCAUUCAGCCAGCAUUAGGGUUUUAAACCCCAAACUGAGCUUUUCCAUGCAAUCAGCACUAGGGUUUUAAACCCUAAACUGAAUUUUUCCUUUAGCCGGCUUUAGGGUUUUAAACCCUAAACUGAACUUUUUUCCUUUCAGCCAGCAUUAGGGUUUUAAACCCUAAACUGAGCUUUUCCAUUUAAUCAGCAUUAGGGUUUUAAACCCUAAACUGAAUUUUCCUUUUAGUCAGCAUUAGGGUUUUAAACCGUAAACUGAACUUUUUUCCAAUCACCCAGCAUUAGGGUUUUAAACCCCAAACUGAGCUUUUCCUUCCAGUCAGCAUUAGGGUUUUAAACCCUAAACUGAAUUUUCCUUUCAGUCAGCAUUAGGGUUUUAAACCCUAAACUGAAUUUUUCCUUUCAGUCAUCAUUAGGGUUUUAAGCCCUAAACUGAAUUUUCCUUUUAUCCAGCAUUAGGAUUUUAAACCCUAAACUGAACUUUUUUUCCAUUCAGCCAGCAUUAGGGUUUUAAACCCCAAACUGAACUUUUCCUUCCAUUCAGCAUUAGGGUUUUAAAUCCUAAACUGAACUUUUUUCCAUUCAGCCAGCAUUAGGGUUUUAAACCCUAAACUGAUCUUUUCCAUGCGAUCAACAUUAGGGUUUUAAACCCUAAACGAAUUUUUCCUUUAGUCAGCAUUAGGGUUUUAAACCCUAAACUGAACUUUUUUCCAUUCAGCCAGCAUUAGGGUUUUAAACCCUAAACUGAGCUUUUCCAUGCAAUCAGCAUUAGGGUUUUAAACCCUAAACUGAAUUUUUCCUUUAGUCAGCAUUAGGGUUUUAAACCCUAAACUGAACUUUUUCCAUUCAGCCAGCAUUAGGGUUUUAAACCCUAAACUGAGCUUUUCCAUGCAAUCAGCGAU
rnacentral:lncRNA from 1 species